CCCGCAAAACGGCGCCGCCAUCCUGCUCGUCCCUAACCACCGCCUACAGAUGGAUUCCCCUCCCCCACUGCGCACAACAGAUGGCUCCGCGCAUCUCGUGAACACAGCGGGCCGCCGGCGGAUAAGCACGCAGCAGCUCACCAUGCCUGGGUCGCCAACAAACCCGCCCCUCUCCUUCUCAUCCCCACCUGCCAGUGUAGGAGAAGAGGACGGAGGUUAGCAGAUCUCGUCGCGCUGGUGGAGAUGACCGAAGCCGCGGAGUGCGAGGAGGAGCGGGACCUGUUUGCCGAUGCAUAGGCCAGCGAGGUGUAUGAUUGUUAGCAUCCGGACGGUGUGGCCGCGGGGCUCGAGCUGCUGAAUUCGAUCUGCGCGGUGCACAGGUCAGCGAGGUGUAUGAUUGUUAGCAUCGGUGCGGUGUCGUAGCUGGUGGAAUUGUUGCCGAAGCUAGCGACGGAGUGUGUCGAGCCGGCUUUGGACAUCUUGGAUGCCCUGUCUGCGGUUCCAGAGGGGAGGAUGGUUCUUAAGGAUUGUCUGCAGACGAUACCCAAUGCUGUCCGGUUGCUGAUGAGAGUUUCAGAGGCAUGCACUCGACGAGCUCUGUCGAUGUUGUGGCCGGUGUGUCGGAUGGCUCCGGAAGAAUGCGCACCUGCUGCAGUGGAGGCUGGGUUGGCGGCGAAGCUUCAGCUUGUCAUCCAAAGUGGUUGUGCGCUGGAGCUGAAGCAGAAGGCGUCGGAGCUGCUCAAGCUGUGCCGCCUCAACUACACCGACACCCCCUCCAUCUCCAAGUGCAAACUCACAAGGACAAUUCAGUGAGAUAUGCAAAUGAUGCUGGUCUGAUCUGAUUUGGUUCGAUGAUGCGUGGUUUGUCGAUUGACCUUGCUGAGUUUAGAGUUCCGAGGAAAUGGAAUUGGCAAAUUGACGAAUGAUGGCAAGACUGGUGGUUACCACAACAAUUUUCGGGGAGACAAGAAGCGAUGCAGCCUAAUGACUAGCAAGUUAGAUGGCAAGCAGGCGGGGUGUACAUGCAAAUUGUUGAGAAUUUGAUCAGCUCAAUAAGCACAUGAGGUUGGGUGGUGUCCUGAAUGAUAUGGGGCUAGACUCACUGUAUUGGUUAUGUAGACAACACCCAUAUCGGCAUAUAAGCUCAACUUCGUAUCAGCAGAGGAAAACAUACAUUGUGGAAAUAAAUUAAUUAUGGUCUCAGAUUCAAGAUAUGACAGAUACUUGUAGAAGUGGCAAUGGUAUUACAGAAGCCAUUCAUUUCGUUGAAUGGGGUGAGAAAGGAGGACGUCAGUUUCUUACUCCUGCUGGAAUUUUAACAUUUAACAGAAAUAGCAUGAGCGGUAAGUUAUUAUUUUUCCGGUCUCCCUAGAGAUGAAUGAAGAAGCUUUUGACAUCCGAUGUAUAUCUUUUAAUCUAACCUGCAAACUCAGGUGUCCUGAAUGAUAUGGGGCUAGACUCACUGUAUUGGUUAUGUCUUAUAUUUAUAUUUGACUGUAUUAGUUGAUGAGGGCUUGCCUCAGAUUGAGGUUACAUUCGACAUCGAUGCUAAUGGAAUUGUGACCGUCUCAGCCAAAGAUAAGGCUACGAGGAAGGAUCAGAUCGAUCUUCGGGUGGGCUGUCUGAGGCUGACAUCUAGAAGAUGGUGCAAGAAGCUAAACUGCGUGCCUAGAAGAAUCAGGAACGGAAAAGCCCUCAUCAUCUAAUCUAAUUCGUUUGUCCAUUAUUUUGCUGAGAAGUCCAUCCCUCGAUAAGUGUUCCCUUCAUGAGUUUAUAACACCAACUCCAACAUACUCACUCACCUCUUUCAGUCUGUUC